rnacentral:misc_RNA from 1 species
GAUGAAGAACGCAGCGAAAUGCGGUAAGUAAUGUGAAUUGCAGAAUUCAGUGAAUCAUCGAAUCUUUGAACGCACAUUGCGCCCUCUGGUAUUCCGGGGGGCAUGCCUGUUCGAGCGUCAUUAUAACCACUCAAGCUCUCGCUUGGUAUUGGGGUUCGCGGUUCCGCGGCCCCUAAAAUCAGUGGCGGUGCCUGUCGGCUCUACGCGUAGUAAUACUCCUCGCGAUUGAGUCCGGUAGGUCUACUUGCCAGCAACCCCCAAUUUUUACAGGUUGACCUCGGAUCAGGUAGGGAUACCCGCUGAACUUAAGCAUAUCAUAAGCGGAGGA